rnacentral:tRNA from 1 species
GCCUGGGUGGCUCAGUCAGUUGAGCAUCCAACUUUGGCUCGGUCAUGAUCUCACUGUUUGUGGGUUUGAGUCCUGCCCUGGGCU